UCUUGGCAUGUUUCUCCUUGGAUAUUUCCUGUAUGGCACUGUCUGCGCUUCCUGGACUUGAUUGCCUAUUUCCUUUCCCAUAUAAGGGAAGUUUCCAACUGUAUUCUCCUCAAAUAUUUUCUCAGUCCCUUUCUUUUUCUCUUCUUCUUCUGCGAGCCCUAUAAUUCGAAUGUUGGUGUGUUUAAUGUUGUCCCAGAGGUCUCUGAGACUGUCCUCAAUUCUUUUUAUUCUUUUUUCUUUAUUCUGCUCUGCAGUAGUUAUUUCUACUAUUUUAUCUUCCAGGUCACUUUUCUGUUCUUCUGCCUCAGUUAUUCUGCUGUUGAUUCCUUACAGAGAAUUUUUAAUUUCAUUUAUCGUGUUCUUCAUCAUUGUUUGUUUGCUCCUUAGUUCUUUUAGGUCCUUGUUAAACGUUUAUUGUAUUUUCUCCAUUCUAUUUCCAAGCUUUUGGCUCAUGUUUACUAUGAUUACUCUGAGUUCUUUUUCAGGUGGACUGCCUAUUUCCUCCUCAUUUGUUUGGUCUGGUGGGUUUUUUCCUUGUUCCUUCAUCUGCUGUGUAUUUCUCUGUAUUCUCAUUUUGCUUAACUUACUGUGUUUGGGGUCUCCUCUUUGCAGGCUGCAGGUUCGUAGUUCCUGCUGUUUCUGGUGUCUGCCCCCAAUGGCUAAGGGCUUCCCUGGUGGCGCAGUGGUUGAGAGUCUGCCUGCCGAUGCAGGGGACGCGGAUUCGUGCCCCGGUCCGGGAAGAUCCCACAUGCCGCGGAGCGGCUGGGCCCGCGAGCCAUGGCCGCUGAGCCUGCGCGUCCGGAGCCUGUGCUCCGCAACGGGAGAGGCCACAACAGUGAGAGGCCCGUGUACCGGAAAAAAAAAAACAAAACAAAA